UACGAAGGGGGCUAGCGUUGUUCGGAAUCACUGGGCGUAAAGCGCACGUAGGCGGAUCUUUUAAGUCAGAGGUGAAAUCCCAAGGCUCAACCUUGGAACUGCCCUUGAUACUGAGGAUCUUGAGUUCGGGAGAGGUGAGUGGAACUGCGAGUGUAGAGGUGAAAUUCGUAGAUAUUCGCAAGAACACCAGUGGCGAAGGCGGCUCACUGGCCCGAUACUGACGCUGAGGCACGGAA
rnacentral:rRNA from 1 species